GCACUCACUUGGGCAGCAUGUACACUAAACUUGAAAUGAUACAGAGAAGACUAGCAUGGCCACUGUGCAAGGAUGACACGCACAUUCAUGAAAUCUGGUGGCUCUGA